GACGAACGCUGGCGGCGUGCUUAACACAUGCAAGUCGAACGGAAAGGCCCUGCUUUUGUGGGGUGCUCGAGUGGCGAACGGGUGAGUAACACGUGAGUAACCUGCCCUUGACUUUGGGAUAACUUCAGGAAACUGGGGCUAAUACCGGAUAGGAGCUCCUGCUGCACGGUGUGGGUUGGAGAGUUUCGGCGGUUGGGGAUGGAAUCGCGGCUUAUCAGCUUGUUGGUGGGGUAGUGGAUUACCAAGGCUUUGACGGGUAGCCGGCCUGAGAGGGUGACCGGCCACAUUGGGACUGGGAAACGGCCCGGAGUCCUACGGGAGGCAGCAGUGGGGAAUAUUGCACAAUGGGCGGAAGCCUGAUGCAGCAACGCCGCGUGCUGGAUGACGGCCUUCGGGUUGUAAACCGCUUUCGCCUGUGACGAAGCGUGAGUGACGGUAAUGGGUAAAGAAGCACCGGCUAACUACGUG
rnacentral:rRNA from 1 species